rnacentral:rRNA from 1 species
CAGCAUACUGCCGUGAAUACGUUCCCGGGCCUUGUACACACCGCCCGUCACACCAUGAGAGUUGGGAAUACCCGAAGCCUGUGAGCUAACAUUUAUGAGGCAGCAGUCGAAGGUAGAAUCAAUGAUUGGGGUGAAGUCGUAACAAGGUACC